rnacentral:rRNA from 3 species
UAACGGCCGCGGUAUUUUAACCGUGCAAAGGUAGCGCAAUCAAUUGUCUUUUAAAUGGAGACCUGUAUGAAUGGCAUCACGAGGGUUUAGCUGUCUCUUUUUCCUGGUCAAUGAAACUGAUCUGCCCGUGCAGAAGCGGGCAUAACAUUACAAGACGAGAAGACCCUAUGGAGCUUUAGACGCCCACCAAUCAUGAAAAGCAACCCCGAUCAAGGGGCCCCUAAGCAACAUGGCCCUGGCACAAACGUCUUCGGUUGGGGCGACCACGGGAGAAAACAAAGCUCCCGAGCGGAUAGGGGACACCCUAAAACCCAGAGCCACUGCUCUAAGUCACAAAAUAUUUGACCGACAAUGAUCCGGCUUCUUGCCGAUCAACGGACCAAGUUACCCUAGGGAUAACAGCGCAAUCCCCUCCCAGAGUCCAUAUCGACGAGGGGGUUUACGACCUCGAUGUUGGAUCAGGACAUCCUGAUGGUGCAGCCGCUAUCAAGGGUUCGUUUGUUCAACGAUUAAAGUCCUACGUGAUCUGAGUUCAGACCGGAGUAAUCCAGGUCAGUUUCUAUCUGUACCGCCACC